rnacentral:rRNA from 1 species
GGGGAAUUUUCCGCAAUGGGCGAAAGCCUGACGGAGCAAUACCGCGUGAGGGAUGACGGCCUAUGGGUUGUAAACCUCUUUUUUCAGGGAGGAAUAAAAUGACGUGUACCUGAAGAAUAAGCAUCGGCUAACUCCGUGCCAGCAGCCGCGGUAAGACGGAGGAUGCAAGUGUUAUCCGGAAUCACUGGGCGUAAAGCGUCUGUAGGUGGUCAAAUAAGUCAACUGUUAAAUCUUGAGGCUCAACCUCGAAAUCGCAGUCGAAACUAUUAGACUAGAGUAUAGUAGGGGUAAAGGGAAUUUCCAGUGGAGCGGUGAAAUGCGUAGAGAUUGGAAAGAACACCGAUGGCGAAGGCACUUUACUGGGCUAUUACUAACACUCAGAGACGAAAGCUA